CUUUGGUAACACUUUAUAUGACACCCAUAGUCAUAAAUCGCUUUGGAUUCUUUUUUUUUUAUUUUUUAAAUUAACUAAUAAUGCCUCAUAAAGCUCUAAUUAUUACUAUGUACUGUAAAUAAUUCCAAUCAUAAUCUUUAACUAUUCAUUAUAAUGCCAUGUGGUGUAUUGCACAACCUUUAUAACUAAGCAAAUACUUGUGGUGCUAUCAAGGAAUUAUUUAUAGCACAUUGCUAGAUCAUUAAGAGCCGUUAUGAGAGUUACAAGGAAUCACGGCAAACUGACAACAGAAUUAUAAACACAGUUAAAAUGAGUUAUGAACUGUUUCCGUGCUGAAAUUUUAAAGGGGACCCCGACUAUGAAGACUUGUACGGCUUAUUAGAUUAACGCUGACGUCCGCUAUAUAAACCUGCUAUACAAAAACACUCUAGAUGUCAGGGGUUUUUUUUUUUUUUUUUUUUAAGUAAUAAAAAUCCUUGCACUCGUAGGUCUCCAGUGGUGUUUAGGUGGCAAGGCAUUCUGAGUAAUGACGUCAAACGGUUGCAACGGUCUUGACUCUCCAGCGACCCUACAGCGAUAUAAACAUGUCUUCAGCCUUUUCGAUUUGAACCUGAGCGUAGCAUGAGCGAGUAGUCGGGGUUCCUUUUAAGCGGUUCAAAAACAAAGUGUGCUGGGAAACUAGUUGUGUAAAAAUGCUGCGUGGUGAAUAUCAAGGAAUGCUACAAAAUGUGAAAAAGAACAGUCAUAAAGCUUCAUUUCGGAAAUUAAGCGAAACAACAUCAAACUAAAGUUGCCUCUGCAACACAAUGAGCACAUGGUUUGAUGCCACUGAGGUAUUUUGUUUUAAUCUCGCCUUCUAGAUUCAUUUUCCUGUGAAUGCUAAGCUAGUGAAGUCAUUUACAUAUUGAUUACGCGCGUAUUAUUGUGCUGUCAAGCUCGAUGUGUUCCUUUAUCUCUGUCUGGAGCUUUGUUUAGAUAUGAAAACGGCACUUUUUUUUCUUUUUUUUUUCUAAUUAAAUUGUCCACCAUUACAACGGGGUAUAUCUAUAACCAUUUCUGCAUGUGUUUUACAAGGAUAAAACAAACUCUAUUAUAUUUCCUCUUCUGUGUUUUACAACUGAGAGAUAACCUGAGUUAUGUUUAUAGCCUGACA
ensembl:lncRNA